rnacentral:rRNA from 1 species
CUUGGUCAUUUAGAGGAAGUAAAAGUCGUAACAAGGUUUCCGUAGGUGAACCUGCGGAAGGAUCAUUAUUGAAAUUACCGGUGAGGGUUGUAGCUGGCCUUUCGGGGCAUGUGCACGCUCGAGCCUUUAAUCCAACACACACCUGUGAACCCAAUGUAGGGGCCCGUAAAAAAGGCCCCUACGUCUUCAUCACCAACUCUGUAUUCAUAGAAUGUAAUCCAUAUCUUCGCCUUUAACAAGCGUUGGUAAACUUUAUACAACUUUCAACAACGGAUCUCUUGGCUCUCGCAUCGAUGAAGAACGCAGCGAAAUGCGAUAAGUAAUGUGAAUUGCAGAUUUUCAGUGAAUCAUCGAAUCUUUGAACGCACCUUGCGCCCCUUGGUAUUCCGAGGGGCAUGCCUGUUUGAGUGUCAUUUAAAUUCUCAACUCUGAUUUGAUUUGUUUCUAAUCGGAGCUUGGACUUGGAGCGUGCUGGCGUCUAGUCGGCUCCUCUCAAAUGCAUCAGCGGAAUCUAACCUUUGGUUUCCGGACGUCGGUGUGAUAAUAAAAAAAAGUUGCGCCGUCUUUCGACUUCAAAGUCCGCUUAUAAUGGUCUUCGGACGAACUCUUAUAUCAAAUUUGACCUCACGUCAGGUAGGACUACCCGCUGAACUUAAGCAUAUCAAUAAGCGGAGG